rnacentral:misc_RNA from 1 species
CGCUCCAACAGCUUUCUUGGAUGCAUGUGAAAAAUAAAGCCGCUAGUCAUGCUUCGAUGCGCACAGCACUUGGCGCUUUCGUGCGCGUUAUCCACUCGCCGAAGCACGCACACAUUGAACAUAUUAGACUCCGCCGUUGUGAAUCACCCACAGUCCGGCCAACAGUUGGUGCAGCCCGCUGAGGUUAUCAAGGAAACAGUGCACCAGAGCAAAGACGAAGAUACGCUGAAAAAUUGCAGCGUCGACCCAGAGGAUGUGAAUGUGAUGAACAAGAGGGAUAUUGAGUGUAUUGAGCUGCGCAAGCUCCAGUACAUGCACUCGCAGCACGGGCCAUUUAUCGGUUCGCAGACGAAGGACAGCACACCAGAUCAAGUAAGCUUCCGCAAGCGUAGACACAUCGUUCGAGUUCCUCAACCGGAGGUGGAAUACCGUCCGAACGAAACAUCGUUUAGGCGCCUCCCAAAAAACUACAUUAUCCCCAAUGAGUUCGAGCUUCGCGUACUAUAUCCGAUGUCGACAAGCCUAAAGAUCGUCGAAGGAAAAGCUGACUGCGUCGAUCACAGUGCAUUCAGCGUUGACGAAGAUCCAUCGCCCAUCGCGUACAGUAUGAUAGCGCCGCCAGAUUGGAAGCCGGAUGUGGAGCACCCAUACAUGGUUGUGCUCCCCGAUCACCGCGGUAUUCCGCGUGACUUUGAGGAUGUGUGCGCCAACUUUUUCGAGCGCCCCACUCAUUACGAAUUGAUGGCGCAGCAAAGGUGGGUUAUUCUGUCCCCCGUUGUGAAUCUUCGACAUAAUAUGCAUGUUCCUGUGGAGGGGGUGGUGGCGAGAUUCUGCGAUUGGGUGAAAGACAACUUCCGCGUCGAAAAUGGGAAGGUGCAUCUUUUCGGCAAAGGCAACGGUGGCUAUGUUGCAUUGCGAACCGUGCUGGAGCACAAAGACGUAGCCCUUAGUGUCACCGCCAUUCUAGGCCGCAGCGGCUCACCUUUUAGGCCACUCGAUCGAGCACAAGAUAAGGUGAAGAGCUAUAAUGGUGUUCACAGUCUUGUGUAUGUGCCUGGGCUGCUGAGGAAGCAAGACUGGUACUACAAGUUCAAGUUCAUGCUGGACAUGGCACGGGUGCGCCCACCUCUUAGGAAUAUUCAUUUUGCUGAUGUACGGGACCAUCAAGUGUACUACGCCAUUAAUCCACAGGAGUUUUGGAACUAUAUGCAGUAUUUUCGCAAGUACAACAUACGGAUGAUUACAGAGAGUGGCUAUUCCAUUUAGCGUCUACAGACUAUACACCAAGCGAGCGAGAGUUUUUUUUUCUGGGAAACAUCAUCUUUUAUCGUUUUUUUUUCACCGUUGCAUGUGUGUCGAGGCCGAGAGUUUAUGAUGCGGGAAUCAUGUUUUUUUUUUUUGGAUGUACUGCAUUACCUUAGAGCAACGUGUUCUCCACGUUUUUUUGCAGUGUUUGCCACCUUUUUUCAGCUUUUCAAUGCUUGCAAACAGACACCG